rnacentral:misc_RNA from 1 species
AAGUCGUAACAAGGUUUCCGUAGGUGAACCUGCGGAAGGAUCAUUAACGAAUAACUAUGGUGUCUUGGUUGUCGCUGGCUCCUCGGAGCAUCGUGCACGCCCGCCAUUUUUAUCUAUCCACCUGUGCACCGAAUGUAGGUCUGGAUGACUCUCGCCCUCGGGCGGAUGCGAGGUUUGCGUUUGCGUGCAAGCGCUCUCCUCGAAUUUCCAGGCUCUACGUCUCUUUACACACCCCAAACGUAUGAUGCAGAAUGUAGUCAAUGGGCCUUUACAAGCCUAUAAAACACUAUACAACUUUCAGCAACGGAUCUCUUGGCUCUC